GUCCGCCCCACUGAAGGUCCGGCGCCCGCUGGGGUCGCAGGCCCGCCACAGGCACGCUGCCCCACGGCGCGUCAGCCCCACGGAUGGGUCCCCCCCGGGCCCACCCGUGGGUCCUCUCGCCCACUGAAGGGUCCUCCCGCCCCACAGAUGGGUCCUCCACCCCACAGAUGGGUCCUCCACCCCAUAGGUUGGGUUCUCCACCCCAUAGAUUGGGUCCUUCACUCCCUAGACUGGUUCUCCACCGCACAGAUGGGUCCUCCUGCCCCACAGAUGGGUCCUCCAGCCCCCUAGAUUGGUCCUCUGGGCCCAUAAAUGGGUUCCCCACCCCAUAGGUUGGGUUCUCCACCCCAUAGAUUGGGUCCUUCGCUCCCUAGAUUGGUUCUCCACCCCACAGAUGGGUCCUCCCACCCCACAGAUGUGUCCUCCAGCCCCCUGGAUUGGUCCUCCAGGCCCAUAAAUGGGUCCUCCACCCCAUAAGUUGGACUCCCCACCCCACAAAUGGGCUCACAAGCCCCAUAGAUGGGCCCCUCCACCCCACAGAUUGGGCUCUCCACCCUAUAAAUGGGUCCUUUCACCCCACAAAUGGGUCGUCCACCCCAUAGACGGCUCCCACAUCCCUUAGAUGGAGUCCUCCAGCCCAUAGAUGGGUCCUCCAGCCCCAUAAGUGAGUCCUCCAACCCCACAGAUGGGUUCUCCAGCCCCAUAGAUGGGUCCUCCAGCCCUUGGGUUGGUCCUCCAACCCCAUAUAUGGCUUCUCUAGCCCCACAGAUGGGUUCUCCAGCCCCAUAGAUGGGUCCUCCAACCCCACAGAUGAGUCCUCCAGACCCACAGGUGAGUCCCACCAGCCCCACAGAUGGGUGGGGGCCCCGCUCACCUGCCAGCAGCUGGUGGGCCCGGGCCUGCAGCUCCCCACGGGCCAGGUGCUGCCCCACGGCCUCGCGCAGGGGGGCCCCGGCAAGGUGCAGUCGGGCCCCGGGGGGGGCCAGUGGGACCCCACAUGCCUCCAGCAGCCUGUGGGACCCAGGCAUCCAGGAAGGGGCCCAGGCAUCCGGGGAAGGGACCCAGGUGUCCGGGAAAAAGGGGCCCAGGCGUCCGGGAAAAAGGACCCAGGCAUCCGGGAAGGGGCCCAGGCGUCCGGGAAAAGGGGCCCAGGCAUCCGGGAAGGGGCCCAGGUGUCCGGGGAAGGGGCCCAGGCGUCCGGGAAAAGGGGCCCAGGCAUCCGGGAAAAGGGGCCCAGGCAUCCGGGAAAAGGGGCCCAGG
rnacentral:lncRNA from 1 species